GAUGAACGCUAGCGGCAGGCUUAAUACAUGCAAGUCGAGGGGCAGCAGGACUGUAGCAAUACAGUUGCUGGCGACCGGCAAACGGGUGCGGAACACGUACGCAACCUACCCAUAACUGGGGAAUAGCCCGGGGAAACCCGGAUUAAUACCUCGUAACCUGGUGAAGUGGCAUCACUUUAUCAGUAUAGCUCCGGCGGUUAUGGAUGGGCGUGCGCCUGAUUAGGUAGUUGGCGGGGUAACGGCCCACCAAGCCUGCGAUCAGUAACUGGUGUGAGAGCACGACCAGUCACACGGGCACUGAGACACGGGCCCGACUCCUACGGGAGGCAGCAGUAAGGAAUAUUGGUCAAUGGACGCAAGUCUGAACCAGCCAUGCCGCGUGAAGGAUGAAGGUCCUCUGGAUUGUAAACUUCUUUUAUAGGGGACGAAACCCGGGUAUUCUUACCCGAUUGACGGUACCCUAGGAAUAAGCACCGGCUAACUCUGUGCCAGCAGCCGCCGUAAUAC
rnacentral:rRNA from 1 species